AUAACUGAUUUAUUCAGCAGAAGGAAAGAUGAUACGGGCCUGGGUGCUUGCCUGGUUGGCUGCACAUGCGUAGCAGGGAGGUAACUCCACGUGGUGGGGGGCGUAUAAUAGAUAAAAAUGAUUUUUAUUUAUUGUACAAUAUUUUUAUUAAAACAUUGAUACAACUGUCACAUGACAUUUU